rnacentral:lncRNA from 1 species
UGUGAUCAUACGGUCAAGAUCAAAUCGCGAUGAAUGGUCCAGAUUUAUUUCAUCUUUAAACGCGAUUAGACGGUCGAGAUCAAAUGCAAUGAACGACCCAGAUGUAAGGGAGAUGGGUAUAAAUAUCUUACAUCACAUCGAACUCAAAUCCUAGCCGUCGGCCCCUUAUCAGAGAAGAAAAACCAGUCGUUGGAGAAGGGAGCUGAUUACCGCCCGUCGCCGU